rnacentral:rRNA from 1 species
CGUAUCACCCAAGACAACUUUACGGAGUUGACGAUUGACGGAGCGAAGCGACGUCAAAGCGUUCAUUAAAGUCGAGUUGGCUUAGGGAUACGUUCGUUGGGUAGGGGAGCGUUCUGUAAGCCUGUGAAGGUGUGUCGUGAGGCAUGCUGGAGGUAUCAGAAGUGCGAAUGCUGACAUAAGUAACGAUAAAGCGGGUGAAAAGCCCGCUCGCCGGAAGACCAAGGGUUCCUGUCCAACGUUAAUCGGGGCAGGGUGAGUCGACCCCUAAGGCGAGGCCGAAAGGCGUAGUCGAUGGGAAACGGGUUAAUAUUCCCGUACUUGGUGUUACUGCGAAGGGGGGACGGAGAAGGCUAUGUUGGCCGGGCGACGGUUGUCCCGGUUUAAGCGUGUAGGUGUGUGUUCCAGGUAAAUCCGGUUCACUUUAACACUGAGGCGUGACGACGAGGCACUACGGUGCUGAAGCAACAAAUGCCCUGCUUCCAGGAAAAGCCUCUAAGCAUCAGGUAACACGAAAUCGUACCCCAAACCGACACAGGUGGUCAGGUAGAGAAUACCAAGGCGCUUGAGAGAACUCGGGUGAAGGAACUAGGCAAAAUGGUGCCGUAACUUCGGGAGAAGGCACGC